AACGAACGCUGGCGGCAUGCCUAACACAUGCAAGUCGAACGAGACCUUCGGGUCUAGUGGCGCACGGGUGCGUAACGCGUGGGAACCUGCCCUUAGGUUCGGAAUAACUCCCCGAAAGGGGUGCUAAUACCGGAUAAUGUCUUCUGACCAAAGAUUUAUCGCCUUUGGAUGGGCCCGCGUUGGAUUAGCUAGUUGGUAGGGUAAAAGCCUACCAAGGCGACGAUCCAUAGCUGGUCUGAGAGGAUGAUCAGCCACACUGGGACUGAGACACGGCCCAGAAUACUAAGGGAGGGGGGAAGGGGGAAAAAUGGAAAAAGGGGGGAAGGCAGAAACAGGAAAGGCGGGGGAAGGAAGAAGGCCUUAGGGUUGUAAAGCUCUUUUACCCGGGAUGAUAAUGACAGUACCGGGAGAAUAAGCGCCGGCUAACUCCGUG
rnacentral:rRNA from 1 species